AUUGAACGCUGGCGGCAUGCCUUACACAUGCAAGUCGAACGGCAGCAUGAUCUAGCUUGCUAGAUUGAUGGCGAGUGGCGAACGGGUGAGUAAUACAUCUGAACGUGCCCUGUAGUGGGGGAUAACUAGUCGAAAGAUUAGCUAAUACCGCAUACGACCUGAGGGUGAAAGUGGGGGACCGCAAGGCCUCAUGCUAUAGGAGCGGCCUAUGUCUGAUUAGCUAGUUGGUGAGGUAAAGGCUAACAAAGGCGACGAUCAGUAGCUGGUAUGAGAGGACGAUCAGCCACAGUGGGACUGAGACACGGCCCAGACUCCUACGGGAGGCAGCAGUGGGGAAUUUUGGACAAUGGGGGCAACCCUGAUCCAGCAAUGCCGCGUGUGUGAAGAAGGCCUUCGGGUUGUAAAGCACUCUUGUCCGGAAAGAAAGCGCACUUACUAAUAUUAGGUGUGGAUGACGGUACCGGAAGAAUAAGGACCGGCUAACUACGUGCCAGCAGCCGCAGUAAGAC
rnacentral:rRNA from 1 species